rnacentral:rRNA from 1 species
AGACCCGAAACCCGGUGAUCUAGCCAUGGGCAGGUUGAAGGUUGGGUAACACUAACUGGAGGACCGAACCGACUAAUGUUGAAAAAUUAGCGGAUGACCUGUGGCUGGGGGUGAAAGGCCAAUCAAACCGGGAGAUAGCUGGUUCUCCCCGAAAGCUAUUUAGGUAGCGCCUCGUGAAUUCAUCUCCGGGGGUAGAGCACUGUUUCGGCUAGGGGGCCAUCCCGGCUUACCAACCCGAUGCAAACUGCGAAUACCGGAGAAUGUUAUCACGGGAGACACACGGCGGGUGCUAACGUCCGUCGUGAAGAGGGAAACAACCCAGACCGCCAGCUAAGGUCCCAAAGUCAUGGUUAAGUGGGAAACGAUGUGGGAAGGCCCAGACAGCCAGGAUGUUGGCUUAGAAGCAGCCAUCAUUUAAAGAAAGCGUAAUAGCUCACUGGUCGAGUCGGCCUGCGCGGAAGAUGUAACGGGGCUAAACCAUGCACCGAAGCUGCGGCAGCGACGCUUAUGCGUUGUUGGGUAGGGGAGCGUUCUGUAAGCCUGUGAAGGUGGCCUGUGAGGGUUGCUGGAGGUAUCAGAAGUGCGAAUGCUGACAUAAGUAACGA